AUUGAACGCUGGCGGCAGGCCUAACACAUGCAAGUCGAGCGGCAGCGGGAAAGUAGCUUGCUACUUUUGCCGGCGAGCGGCGGACGGGUGAGUAAUGCCUGGGGAUCUGCCCAGUCGAGGGGGAUAACUACUGGAAAUGGUAGCUAAUACCGCAUACGCCCUACGGGGGAAAGCAGGGGACCUUCGGGCCUUGCGCGAUUGGGUGAACCCGGGUGGGAUUAGCUGGUUGGUGAGGUAAUGGCUCACCAAGGCGACGAUCCCUAGCUGGUCUGAGAGGAUGAUCAGCCACACUGGAACUGAGACACGGUCCAGACUCCCACGGGAGGCAGCAGUGGGGAAUAUUGCACAAUGGGGGAAACCCUGAUGCAGCCAUGCCGCGUGUGUGAAGAAGGCCUUCGGGUUGUAAAGCACUUUCAGCGAGGAGGAAAGGUUGGUAGCUAAUAACUGCCAGCUGUGACGUUACUCGCAGAAGAAGCACCGGCUAACUCCGUGCCAGCCGCCGCCGUAAUAC
rnacentral:rRNA from 1 species